GAAAUCUGGAAAAAAAUGGGACAGUGGGGGAAAACGAAACACCUCUUCAAAACAAAUUUGAAAGAAAAAGUCUAUAAAACCUAAAUCUAACCUAAUCUUCAAUCUCAUACCUUAGUCGCUCUCACCUCUCGCUCAUAGUCUCACGCUCAAAUGGAUAAACGACAUCGUGUAAUCGUGCAUCCUUGGCUCCUCCUUGCCUCCCUCUUCGUUCAUCACCUCCGCUAUACCUCCUCAUAUCAUCUUCGCCCUUCACUUUAGACUUUCUCCGCCUCCAAGCUUCAGAAUUUCACCAUCUGAAGUGAAGAACUUCGGCCAACACCGAAGAACUCAACAACAUUAGGCGAUUUCUUAUGAUUUCAGGUAAACAUACAUAAUUAGAUACACAUUUACUUUAAGUUUUAGUACAUAUUUAAUUUUCUUUUUGUGCUUUGAUUCUUAUAAGUACAAGAAGCAUAUGUUUCUUUUUGUAAUUUAACAAUCUUGUAAUUGUUUAUACUUCACAUAAACACUGCAAAUUUGUAUUUGUUUAUAUUUAAGUCAUUAGCAAACUAACAAUGGUGUAUAAAGUUUACUAUAUAAUGAGCUUACGAGAGGUUAUAAAUGUGUUUAAGUAUCUAAUUCUAUUUUUAUACCUGAUUAUUUCACAUUAUAGUUGUCUAUGUGUGUAAUUGUGUAUGUUUUUAACAAUAUGGCUCUAAUUAUAGUAUAUGUUUGUUGUUUUAGAAUGGCUACAAAUGAAGGUGUAAUAGAUGUGGACGAUCAAAAUGAUGAAGUUGAAGUCCCUGGAAGAAAAUAAGCCAAAGUUGAAGUCACUUGUUUGGCAACAUUUUCCAUAUAAGAAAUGUGCUAAAAAGUCAAAAUGCAAACAUUUUAAAAUGGUUUUAGCAUGUGGAACUAGAGUUAAUGGUACCUCUGAGUUAGUGAGUCAUCUAAAAAAUACUUGUGUAAGAUCCCCCUUUACAAAAAGAGAAAAAAUGAUUCAAAAAAUCAAUCAAUCUUAAACUUCAAGCCAAAGAGACAGAAGGGGGUGAGUCUUUAAUGAGAAGAUGAUGGGUUUAAAAAUUGGUAAGGUUUUCUUUAUAUGUUUGAGUUCAUAUUUCAAAUAUACUUUUAUAUAUAUAUAUAUAUAUAUAUAUAUNNNNNNNNNNNNNNNNNNNNNNNNNNNNNNUAGGAAACACUAGUGGAAAUGAUGGAUUUUUGGGUAAGUUGUGGAUUUUGGCUAGUGAUGUCUAUUGUUUGAUCGAUAAUUGGAAAGUGAAAAACUGAAAAAACUUUAUAUUUGUUUUUAUUUAAUCUGUUGCAAGUUUAUGGAUUUUAGGCCAAUCUAGUGGCUAAUGUUGUAUGCUUGUUUAAACUUGUAAUUUCCUACUUUGACUUGUUGCAAUUUAUGUCAUUUAAAUGGCUAUUGGCCUACUGCAUAUGAUAUUAUUGGCUCUUAAGAUGAUAAAUGAAUAUGGUUAUUUACUUAUUUCAAACAGUUGAAUUUUGCUAGUUUUGGGCAAUUUUAGUAAUUUAUGGUUUAAAACCGAAAUCGCACCAUUACAAACCGCAACCGCAAAAACCAUACCGCAAUAAACUGCACUUUGCAGUUUUACACAAAUAAAACUGCAUCAGUACCAUACUGCACCAUGCUCACCCCUACUUUUUUUAAGUAGUUUUAUAAUUGUAUAAAUUUUAUUUGGUUCUAUAUUGAUCUCUCGUCAGACUAUGUGNUUAAAGUAUAUAUAUAAAUAUAUAUUUGUUUAUUUAUUUACAAUUGGAGAAAUGAAUUAGAGUGGAAAUCUGGAAAAAAAUGGGACAGUGGGGGAAAACGAAACACCUCUUCAAAACAAAUUUGAAAGAAAAAGUCUAUAAAACCUAAAUCUAACCUAAUCUUCAAUCUCAUACCUUAGUCGCUCUCACCUCUCGCUCAUAGUCUCACGCUCAAAUGGAUAAACGACAUCGUGUAAUCGUGCAUCCUUGGCUCCUCCUUGCCUCCCUCUUCGUUCAUCACCUCCGCUAUACCUCCUCAUAUCAUCUUCGCCCUUCACUUUAGACUUUCUCCGCCUCCAAGCUUCAGAAUUUCACCAUCUGAAGUGAAGAACUUCGGCCAACACCGAAGAACUCAACAACAUUAGGCGAUUUCUUAUGAUUUCAGGUAAACAUACAUAAUUAGAUACACAUUUACUUUAAGUUUUAGUACAUAUUUAAUUUUCUUUUUGUGCUUUGAUUCUUAUAAGUACAAGAAGCAUAUGUUUCUUUUUGUAAUUUAACAAUCUUGUAAUUGUUUAUACUUCACAUAAAC
rnacentral:lncRNA from 1 species